rnacentral:rRNA from 1 species
CAGUAGCCGCGGGAAUACAGAGGGUGCGAGCGUUAAUCGGAUUUACUGGGCGUAAAGCGUGCGUAGGCGGCUUUUUAAGUCGGAUGUGAAAUCCCUGAGCUUAACUUAGGAAUUGCAUUCGAUACUGGGAAGCUAGAGUAUGGGAGAGGAUGGUAGAAUUCCAGGUGUAGCGGUGAAAUGCGUAGAGAUCUGGAGGAAUACCGAUGGCGAAGGCAGCCAUCUGGCCUAAUACUGACGCUGAGGUACGAAAGCAUGGGGAGCAAACAGGAUUAGAUACCCAGUAGUCCCUGUCUCUUAUACA